rnacentral:rRNA from 1 species
UGCAAGUCGAGGGGUAACAUGGAGUGCUUGCACUCUGAUGACGACCGGCGCACGGGUGCGCACCGCGUAUGGAACCUACCUUUUACAGGGGGAUAGCCCAGGGAAACUUGGAUUAAUACCCCGUGGUACCUAUAUAUAGCAUUAUAAAUAGGUUAAAGCCUUCGGGCGGUAGAAGAUGGCCAUGCGUCCCAUUAGCUAGAUGGUAAGGUAACGGCUUACCAUGGCUACGAUGGGUAGGGGCCCUGAGAGGGGGAUCCCCCACACUGGUACUGAGACACGGACCAGACUCCUACGGGAGGCAGCAGUGAGGAAUAUUGGACAAUGGGCGGGAGCCUGAUCCAGCCAUGCCGCGUGCAGGAAGAAUGCCCUAUGGGUAGUAAACUGCUUUUAUACGGGAAGAAAAAGGGGCACGUGUGCCCCACUGACGGUACCGUAAGAAUAAGGACCGGCUAACUCCGUGCCAGCAGCCGCGGUAAUACGGAGGGUCCGAGCGUUAUCCGGAAUUAUUGGGUUUAAAGGGUCCGUAGGCGAGCCGAUAAGUCAGUGGUGAAAGUCUGCAGCUCAACUGUAGAAUUGCCUUUGAUACUGUCGGUCUUGAGUUAUGGUGAAGUUGCCGGAAUAUGUAGUGUAGCGGUGAAAUGCAUAGAUAUUACAUAGAACACCGAUUGCGAAGGCAGGUGACUAACCAUAUACUGACGCUGAUGGACGAAAGCGUGGGGAGCGAACAGGAUUAGAUACCCUGGUAGUCCACGCCGUAAACGAUGGAUACUAGCUGUCCGGGUCCUUGAGACCUGGGCGGCCAAGCGAAAGUGAUAAGUAUCCCACCUGGGGAGUACGUUCGCAAGAAUGAAACUCAAAGGAAUUGACGGGGGCCCGCACAAGCGGUGGAGCAUGUGGUUUAAUUCGAUGAUACGCGAGGAACCUUACCAGGGCUUAAAUGCAUUUCGACAGG